UCACGGACUCGGUUGGUGAUGCGCAGUCUUUGAGAAGGAAAGCGCAUGGACAGUAGCAGCUGCAGCAAGAGGACGCGAUUCAGCGGUUUUUUCAACUUUUAUGUCCAACUUUGCUGACUGAUCAGCGGUGGUUUGUGAGCGUAGAGGGCCAGGUUGUCAGUGAGGGAGUGUCCUUUGUGCUGGGGCUUGCUGUUCUAAUGUCAACUUUCUACAACUUUAACCUGCAAUACCAGGACAAUGCUGCAUGCUCAUUGGAGUUCAUUCAGAGAAUCUGCAUGGGGAUUAAUCCUGAGAGAGGAUCAAAGGCAUACAGUGGACAGGCACCCAGCAGAAAAACUGGAAAGAUGGUCCAGAAGAAACCAUCAACAGUGAACCCGCAUGUCUGCACCCUAAUCAGCAAGCUCAACGACUUCAAGUGGGACUUUGUUUGAUCUUUUCUCAUAGUAUUGUAUUGUUUAAGCGCAGAUACCAUUUGUCGAUCAUCAAGGAACAAUAUAUGCCGAUAAAGGGCCAAUACUGAUUUUGUGUUGUUUAGUUUAGUUAUAUACAGCAGUUUCCCUGUUUGUAGUGUAUUGGGAUUGUGACUGGCAUAAUAGUGUGUGACUCCAUGGAGCUCAACAGUGACUUCUCACUUUUUUACGGUGGUUCGGGAACUUCUUUUUCCCCAGUUCAAGUGUUUCAUUGACGUUUCAAAAAUUGCUGAUAUAUAGAGUUUAUAGAGUUUUAACCCUGGAACUGAGCCAACCAGCUACAAGAUGAGUUACUAGUUUUGGUGAUUAUAAAACAUUUGAUUUGGCACAAAAAACAUUUUUAAAACAAUACUUGGUUACAAUACUGUGUAGAGAAACUAUCAUAGAUGUUCAAUGGUAGAGGCUCUAGCCAUUUGCGGUUUUGUGGAUACGGUAAACAUGUCUAUGGUAACAGCGAGUUGGACUAAUCAGAGACAUUGCUGUUAUGCUUAGGAUUGUGGGUAAUGUAAUUUUCUCCAUGGGAUCGCACAUAAAACAUGUUUUUCUUAAUGCAAGUUUGAUUUCAUAUGGACCUUUUGCUUUUACAACCUUGUAGCUCGGGGUCAGUCUGCCUCAGAUGAUUUAGAUCGAAAAUGAUAGACACAUUUUCCAUUGCACGUAGACGAGUGCCUUUGUUUUUUUCUUCUGGUGCGUAUGUUCAACGUCACAAACACGCCGCAAAACGGGUGUUAACUUUUUCUGCUACGGCUUUGAUACAGUUCACAAAACUGCAAACUCUGAUGUACGUAUACUCACAUGAUAUUUACAGUAUAAAUAAAGAGUUAAUUAGA